UGGUGGAGUGAUUUGUCUGGUUAAUUCCGUUAACGAACGAGACCUCAGCCUGCUAAAUAGUCACGCGAAUUCUUCUGCUAAAGCACUGGGUGGCGUCCUGCGUUGUUCGGUGUGGAUGAGUUCGUGGCCGUACUUCUUAGAGGGACUAUUGGCACUGAAGCCAAUGGAAGUUUGAGGCAAUAACA
rnacentral:rRNA from 1 species